rnacentral:rRNA from 1 species
AACGAACGCUGGCGGCAUGCCUAACACAUGCAAGUCGAACGAGACCCUCGGGUUUAGUGGCGCACGGGUGUGUAACGCGUGGGAACCUGCCCCUUGGUUCGGAAUAACUCACCGAAAGGGGUCCUAAUACCCGAUAAUGUCUUCGGACCAAAGAUUUAUCGCCUUUGGAUGGGCCCGCGUUGGAUUAGCUAGUUGGUAGGGUAAAAGCCUACCAAGGCGACGAUCCAUAGCUGGUCUGAGAGGAUGAUCAGCCACACUGGGACUGAGACACGGCCCAGACUCCUACGGGAGGCAGCAGUGGGGAAUAUUGGACAAUGGGCGAAAGCCUGAUCCAGCAAUGCCGCGUGAGUGAUGAAGGCCUUAGGGUUGUAAAGCUCUUUUACCCGGGAUGAUAAUGACAGUACCGGGAGAAUAAGCUCCGGCUAACUCCGUG